rnacentral:rRNA from 1 species
CGNANNNGNGNGUGCUUACCAUGCAGUCGAACGGAAAGGCCCAGCUUGCUGGGUACUCGAGUGGCGAACGGGUGAGUAACACGUGGGUGAUCUGCCCUGCACUCUGGGAUAAGCCUGGGAAACUGGGUCUAAUACCGGAUAUGACCAACUGUCGCAUGGUGGUUGGUGGAAAGCUUUUGCGGUGUGGGAUGGGCCCGCGGCCUAUCAGCUUGUUGGUGGGGUAAUGGCCUACCAAGGCGACGACGGGUAGCCGACCUGAGAGGGUGAUCGGCCACACUGGGACUGAGACACGGCCCAGACUCCUACGGGAGGCAGCAGUGGGGAAUAUUGCACAAUGGGCGCAAGCCUGAUGCAGCGACGCCGCGUGAGGGAUGACGGCCUUCGGGUUGUAAACCUCUUUCACCAGGGACGAAGCGUGAGUGACGGUACCUGGAGAAGAAGCACCGGCCAACUACGUGCCAGCAGCCGCGGUAAUACGUAGGGUGCGAGCGUUGUCCGGAAUUACUGGGCGUAAAGAGCUCGUAGGCGGUUUGUCGCGUCGUCUGUGAAAUUCUGCAACUCAAUUGCAGGCGUGCAGGCGAUACGGGCAGACUUGAGUACUACAGGGGAGACUGGAAUUCCUGGUGUAGCGGUGAAAUGCGCAGAUAUCAGGAGGAACACCGGUGGCGAAGGCGGGUCUCUGGGUAGUAACUGACGCUGAGGAGCGAAAGCGUGGGUAGCGAACAGGAUUAGAUACCCUGGUAGUCCACGCCGUAAACGGUGGGUACUAGGUGUGGGUUCCUUUUCACGGGAUCCGUGCC